rnacentral:rRNA from 1 species
AGUGAACGCUGGCGGUAGGCCUAACACAUGCAAGUCGAACGGCAGCACAGGAGAGCUUGCUCUCUAGGUGGCGAGUGGCAGACGGGUGAGGAAUACAUCGGAAUCUGCCCAGUCGUGGGGGAUAACGUAGGGAAACUUACGCUAAUACCGCAUACGACCUUCGGGUGAAAGAGGGGGAUCGCAAGACCUCUCGCGAUUGGAUGAGCCGAUGUCGGAUUAGCUAGUUAGCGGGGUAAUGGCCCACCAAGGCGACGAUCCGUAGCUGGUCUGAGAGGAUGAUCAGCCACACUGGAACUGAGACACGGUCCAGACUCCUACGGGAGGCAGCAGUGGGGAAUAUUGGACAAUGGGCGCAAGCCUGAUCCAGCCAUACCGCGUGGGUGAAGAAGGCCUUCGGGUUGUAAAGCCCUUUUGUUGGGAAAGAAAUCUUUCAGGCUAAUACCCUGGGAGGAUGACGGUACCCAAAGAAUAAGCACCGGCUAACUUCGUG